AUAUUGGACAAUGGGCGCAAGCCUGAUCCAGCCAUGCCGCGUGAGUGAUGAAGGCACUNGGGUAGNANAGCUCUUUCACCGGUAANGCUAAUGACGGUAACCGGAGAAGAAGCCCCGGCCAACUUCGUGCCAGCAGCCGCGGUAAUACGAAGGGGGCUAGCAGUGUUCGGAAUUAACGGGCGUAAAGCGCACGUAGGCGGACAUUUAAGGCAGGGGUGAAAUCCCGGGGCUCAACCCCGGAACUGCCUUUGAUACUGGAUGUCUGGAGUAUGGAAGAGGUGAGUGGAAUUCCGAGUGUAGAGGUGAAAUUCGUAGAUAUUCGGAGGAACACCAGUGGCGAAGGCGGCUCACUGGUCCAUUACUGACGCUGAGGUGCGAAAGCGUGGGGAGCAAACAGG
rnacentral:rRNA from 1 species